ACUCAAAGGAAUAGACGGGGACCCGCACAAGCGGUGGAUGAUGUGGAUUAAUUCGAUGCAACGCGAAAAACCUUACCUACCCUUGACAUGGAUCAGAUCCUGCAGAGAUGCGGGAGUGCUCGCAAGAGAAUGGUCGCACAGGUGCUGCAUGGCUGUCGUCAGCUCGUGUCGUGAGAUGUUGGGUUAAGUCCCGCAACGAGCGCAACCCUUGUCAUUAAUUGCCAUCAUUCGGUUGGGCACUUUAAUGAGACUGCCGGUGACAAACCGGAGGAAGGUGGGGAUGACGUCAAGUCCUCAUGGCCCUUAUGGGUAGGGCUUCACACGUCAUACAAUGGUGCAUACAGAGGGUUGCCAGGCCGCGAGGCGGAGCUAAUCCCGGAAAGUGCAUCGUAGUCCGGAUUGGAGUCUGCAACCCGACUCCAUGAAGUUGGAAUCGCUAGUAAUCGCGGAUCAGCAUGUCGCGGUGAAUACGUUCCCGGGUCUUGUACACACCGCCCGU
rnacentral:rRNA from 1 species